rnacentral:rRNA from 1 species
AUUGAACGCUGGCGGCAUGCCCUUUAAAAGAAAGUCGAACGGCAGCGCGGGGCAACCUGGCGGCGAGAGGUGAACGGGUGAGUAAUAUAUCGGAACGUACCCCAGAGUGGGGGAUAACGUAGCGAAAGUUACGCUAAUACCGCAUACGAUCUAAGGAUGAAAGCGGGGGAUCGCAAGACCGCGUGCUCCUGGAGCGGCCGAUAUCUGACUAGCUAGUUGGUGAGGUAAAGGCUCACCAAGGCGACGAUCAGUAGCUGGUCUGAGAGGACGACCAGCCACGCUGGAACUGAGAGACGGUCCAGACUCCUACGGGAGGCAGCAGUGGGGAAUUUUGGACAAUGGGCGCAAGCCUGAUCCAGCAAUGCCGCGCGAGUGAAGAAGGGCUUCGGGUUGUAAAGCUCUUUUGUCAGGGAAGAAACGGUAGGAGCUAAUAUCUCUUGCUAAUGACGGCACCUGAAGAAUAAGCACCGGCUAACUACGUGCCAGCAGCCGCGGUAAUACGUAGGGUGCAAGCGUAAUUCGGAAUUACUGGGCGUAAAGCGUGCGCAGCGGUUUUGUAAGUCUGUCGUGAAAGCCCCGGGCUCAACCUGGGAAUUGCGAUGGAGACUGCAAGGCUUGAAUCUGGCAGAGGGGGGUAGAAUUCCACGUGUAGCAGUGAAAUGCGUAGAGAUGUGGAGGAACACCGAUGGCGAAGGCAGCCCCCUGGGUCAAGAUUGACGCUCAUGCACGAAAGCGUGGGGAGCAAACAGGAUUAGAUACCCUGGUAGUCCACGCCCUAAACGAUGUCUACUAGUUGUCGGGUUUUAAUUAACUUGGUAACGCAGCUAACGCGUGAAGUAGACCGCCUGGGGAGUACGGUCGCAAGAUUAAAACUCAAAGGAAUUGACGGGGACCCGCACAAGCGGUGGAUGAUGUGGAUUAAUUCGAUGCAACGCGAAAAACCUUACCUACCCUUGACAUGUACGGAACCUCCGAGAGAUUGGAGGGUGCUCGAAAGAGAGCCGUAACACAGGUGCUGCAUGGCUGUCGUCAGCUCGUGUCGUGAGAUGUUGGGUUAAGUCCCGCAACGAGCGCAACCCUUGUCAUUAGUUGCUACAUUUGGUUGGGCACUCUAAUGAGACUGCCGGUGACAAACCGGAGGAAGGUGGGGAUGACGUCAAGUCCUCAUGGCCCUUAUGGGUAGGGCUUCACACGUCAUACAAUGGUACAUACAGAGGGCCGCCAACCCGCGAGGGGGAGCUAAUCCCAGAAAGUGUAUCGUAGUCCGGAUCGCAGUCUGCAACUCGACUGCGUGAAGUUGGAAUCGCUAGUAAUCGCGGAUCAGCAUGUCGCGGUGAAUACGUUCCCGGGUCU